rnacentral:lncRNA from 1 species
UUCCAUGACCUGUGUUCCCACUUCUCCUUGAUAAGGCCAAUGUUUUGGCCCUACUGGUGAAAAUAUGUAGACCUAACAUCUAUCUCCCUGCUCCAGUUUCAAGAGAAAAGACCUUAUUCAGAGAAAUAUUUAGAAGACUCUUGUGGAAUUCUUGCUGUGAGUGGUUUUUCCUUCCCUGCCAUUGGUGCGACUGUUUCCCCCUUCCGUCAAAUUGCUGUCUAGAUGUUUCUCUCUGACCCCAAUUUUCUCGGAGUUUGGGAUUAUCAAUCUAAAAUCAGAGGGAACUGCCACUCACUGACACGGACAACAGUAAAGGAACUUGGUCUUCACUAUGCCUCAUAGUGGUGGGUCACACUGCCCAGGAGGAACCCGCAAUGAGACCGGCAAAUGCCUUAACCAUCUCAUUGUCUCAUCAGGAAGAAGCUUAAAUGACUCUUCUUGCUCACAUACUUCCUGGGCAAACAUGUCUGCUCUGUUGGGAUAAAGGACGCUCUAGACCAGGCUCUGCUGAAAGAUCCAGGGCAAAGGUUCCUGACAAGACUAUGUCCAGCCUCAAAUAAGGCCACAGAAGAGCCCAGGCUCGCUGACGAGCACCGGCUCCGAGGCAGUCACAUCAGGAGACAGAAACAGACAUGUUGGUGCUGCCCUCUCAGGUCAGUGCAAAUGCCACUUGAGGAGGGCUGAGAGCUUUGCAGCAUAAAAUGACCAGAACAAGGAGAAACACAGAUGCAAUGGCAAUAGCUGGCAAUUCGCACAUGGCGUCAAACACCACUGCCACAGAAGCUUUUUAGCUACAAGCCACGCUAUGCAACCUUUAAGCAAAACAUUAUUGAUUUUGUGGUUGUAAAAACAUACCUUCAACUGCAGAACUCAGUUUUAUGACACCUUGAAUAAAAACAAAAAGUGGCAGUUAUAUAAUGGACCCAAAUCGCCUUUUCCAGGCUUCUCAUAACACACGCAUGCUUCAGAUUUGGAUUUUUCUUUUUCUGCUGGCAUUGCAAGAACGUAACUAAACAAAUAUCAACUUCAAAAAUAAAAUAAUUUUUAGUCUUAA